rnacentral:rRNA from 1 species
UACGUAGGGGGCUAGCGUUGUCCGGAAUCAUUGGGCGUAAAGAGCGUGUAGGCGGCCCGGUAAGUCCGCUGUAAAAGUCAAAGGCUCAACCUUUGAAUGUCAGUGGAUACUGCCGGGCUAGAGUCCGGAAGAGGAGAGCGGAAUUCCUGGUGUAGCGGUGAAAUGCGCAGAUAUCAGGAAGAACACCCGUGGCGAAGGCGGCUCUCUGGGACGGUACUGACGCUGAGACGCGAAAGCGUGGGGAGCGAACAGG